GGAAAGUAGCAUGCAAUGGUGCAUAAGCGGUCUUGAAAACCGUGCCAUCAAUUUUGAUGAGGGUUCGAUUCCUUUACUUUCCG
rnacentral:tRNA from 1 species